UACGUAGGGUGCGAGCGUUGUCCGGAAUUAUUGGGCGUAAAGAGCUUGUAGGUGGUUUGUCGCGUCUGCUGUGAAAAUCCGAGGCUCAACCUCGGACUUGCAGUGGGUACGGGCAGACUAGAGUGUGGUAGGGAGACUGGAAUUCCUGGUGUAGCGGUGAAAUGCGCAGAUAUCAGGAGGAACACCGGUGGCGAAGGCGGGUCUCUGGGUAGUAACUGACGCUGGAGGAGCGAAAGCGUGGGGAGCGAACAGG
rnacentral:rRNA from 1 species